rnacentral:tRNA from 1 species
GUUGUUUUGGCCGAGUGGUUAACGCGUGUGCCUACAAAGUACAUGCGUUUUCCCAACGAGAGUCCAACCACGCGUGUGCCUACUAAGUACAUGCGUUUUCCCAACGAGAGUCCGAAUAUCUCAAGCAACG